GCAUUGCCAGAUCUUCCUCCACAGCGCUGCGGGGGAGGGUCUAUCUAGUCCAUACAUCAUUCCGUGAUGGGAGAAAAACAUGCUCUGGUUUAUUGGCAUUUCUUUAAACCAAUCACAAUCGUCAUGGGCGGUGCUAAGCGCCGGAUGGAGCAACGGUGUCUCUGCAAAACAGCCUGAGGAAGGAACUUGUUUUGGUGGAACAUGUUUACGUUCAAUGGUUGUUUUAGUCGUGCAACAGACAACUCAGAUUGGACAGAUAGUCUAGCUAGCUGUCUGGAUUUACCCUGCAGAGAUCUGAGGAGCAGUUUACCAUAGUCUUCAGAUUGUACAGAUAGUCUAGCUAGC